ensembl:lncRNA
AUGUAAAUAUGCCAGUGAUGUCAGUCCAUAUGCCCUGAUGAUAUCAUUGUUUUUAUUUAUUGUAAAUGUCUUCAGCACCCUGCAGAUUUUAAUUAUCUGACUGUGACUUCAUGCUACCGUCUCAAUCUCGGCAUGUGCACUGUGUCAAUACAUCCCGUCGGGCAUUUUCAGAAAAGCACAUUUAAAGAGGGGCAGAGAAAAUUUCCACUGUGCCGCUUUCAUAGUGUGUCACAAGUGCUGGAAAAAGAAUCGACUGGGCUGUGAGUGUCAUGUCUUUCCUCCAGCUGCUGUUGUUUGCGUGUGUGCUUUUUUUUUUUUUUUGUCACAAGGUAGGUUUAUGUAACAAAAACCCAUUCGCGUUUGCAACUUUGACCAAGGGAAACAUAGACCCUCACAAGAAAAAAGAAAAAGCAACAAUCUGACAACUAUGACAGCGUACGAGGAAGAAAAGGUCUUGGGAUGGAAAACCAGCUGAAAAACAUGGAAUUUAGCCUGAGAGGAAGAUGGUGUGAGCAGAUGAUAGAGAAUGAGAUGCUGCCAAAUUUGUCAGCGGCAGACGUGGCACGUUGCGCAGAACUGUCAUUCAGCUGUAUUCUGGCAUGCUCAGAAACAGUAGAUCUAUGGCAAGCUGAGGGGUGUGGGAGGGAAGACUGACAAGAAAUGGGGGGGGGCUCUAUUUAGAGAUCCUCUCUGUGUUAUGACUGAGUGACAGGACAGUGAGGUGUGUGAGAUGGCUGUAUAUUCAAGUGAUUUUUAAGGACAGUUUUACUGAGCCUGCUGCGCACUCAUGUCAAGCAGAAGAGAAAUGUCAAAGUGGAUUUUUUUUUUGUUUGUUUUUUGGCUCUCAGUGAAAAUUUGUGUGCGCAGCAUUUGGAAUGAAAAAGAGCAAUUUUGUCUGUCCUUGAAAAUACAGUCAGAUACAUUUACGACUUCCUCAACUGCUGAGAGUUCAGAUUGGCCUAUAGUGGCAAACAUCAAUAAUAAUCCGCAUCAGCAGUCUUUGACUCACAACCAUGUCACCAAGAAAAACAGAGUGAGGAGAAAAAAAAAAAGAAAUAUGGAAGAGGUAACAACAUGGUGUGGAGAUGCCGGAGGAAAAUGGUCUGGAAGAGGACUGGAAAUAGCCUUUGGUGCAGUAUGACUAACACUUUAAUUGCAGAGGGACAGAGAUGUGGUCCUCUGUUUUAUGUGCAUGUGAGUGUGUGUGGUUUGCUUGUCUGCAGUGUGUAGCCAUUUCCUUAUUCAUACCCCAAUACAAAGAUACUGCUUAUCAUGCAGGUUGGAGAAAAUUAGUUUCAUGACUGUGUGUUCCCUGAUUUACCUGCUUGGGUUAUAAACUUGAGUGUGUGGUGUCUUCACCCUAUAAGAAAAUUAAAC